UUUCAUUAUGUGAUUAUUAAUAGCUAAUAUAAGUUAUGGUAUAUAGGUGGGACGUGGCUGCAUUUGUACUCAUUGUUACGUGAAAUGCGUAAUUUAUACUAACUUAUUUGAAUACAUUUUAAUGUAUUUCUUACAGCACAUUAUUAACUUUCAGCUCACUGCAUGGGGUAUUUGGUCCGAGGAAGACAAAACGACACCCUGAACAGGCCACCGCGGGGCAGCUGCUUACUAAAUUCAGCCAAGAUUCAAACUCAUGUAAAAACAAAACCUUCUGUUUCCACUGACUCAUUUCACUUCACAGUAAUUGCAGACCACCUCAGGGUGUCCCUCUGUCAAUAUCAGAGCAAUCUGAUGUAGUAUUUUGAAAUUACAGCCCUUGAAAAUGUCUGAUAUUUUCACUGAAUUUCUUUUUACAUCGACUAUCAAUUCAGUUAAAUAUGCUAAUGACCUCACCAGUCACUCCUUUACUGUAUUUGGCUCUUAGGAGAUGUUAUACAUACAGUCUACACCAAUUGCAUUAUGUUCAGCAGAAGCUCACUUUUAUAUUGAAAUGUGCUGCGACACGAUGUUACCGCAAUGCCUAGAAAAAACACGCAUCGCAAAACAGCGCGAGAGCUGGCUUGACUGUCGUUUUCGAAGUGGAGGCUGGCUUGACUGUCGUUUUCGAAGUGGAGGCUGGCUUGACUGCAGUAAUGAAGGUGGGACUAAAAUUUAACAGAUGGAGGUGAGGAUAGAGUGCAGGGAGCUGCUGGCCGUGGACAGGGGCUGGAUGAGAGACAUGAACUGUGUGCGGGUCUCCUGGUGUCCCAAAGCCGACACACAUAUCGCGAAAAACCCUUCUGGAUCCUCUCGACCCACCAGCACUUCCCUUAACAUCUUUCUGACCAAGGCUUUACUGUCUUCGGCACCAGCCGCUGCUGAAGGAGGCAUCUUAAAGUGAAAGGUGACGAGAUACUAUCUGUAUCAAAUGCUGUAAAACUCCUGUGAACAUAUAUAUAUCUAAUACAUAGUUUUAACUCAAUCGUUUAGAUCAAAAUGAUCUCCACGUCCGGAACCUGCCCUCAGUGCUGGUUACCAAACAACAGCUGGUUUUGAGUUACACAAGCCAUGGGUCAGUGUUUUGUAACCUGGUUUGUAAUGGUUUAAUAUAGCCAGUAGGGGGCGUACAAGUCUAAUAAAUAAGAGCCAUGUAGUGAGGCUAGUGAAACCCAUAGGUGCCUGGCUGUUAACGGGAUGUGAGGAACAGUAGGGAAUCCCUGUUUACAUUUCAUUAAUUACGGAUUAGAGAGAUUUCGAUGCAAUAAAUGCUAUGUCUGUUUUUUU